rnacentral:lncRNA from 1 species
AAGCUAGGCUUCCAAAGGGAAUGACAAAGAAGCAGGUUCUCCUCUUGCUUAAUAAGUAGUCAUAGUUUGCCUCUGGAGAUAUGUAUUUCCAGUUGUUUUAGUUGUUUUGUUUUGUUUUGUUUUGUUGUUGUCAUCGCUAUCGAAGAAUAUUCUUUCCUGUCAGUGAUUAUUAACACUUUCCGUUUUUCAGAAUGCUUUAACUCUGUUUGAUGUUUCCUCACUUGGUUACCUUUCUCAAGUCUGCGAUGACCCUCUCAGGCUUUGCCAUUCUUAUCGAUUCUUACCAGAAUGUACUUACUCAUUAGCUGUUUUGUUAUAGUUAUGGUGGAGAUAAUCUUGUUUUUCAGGCUUUUAUAACUAACCAAACAAAUUACCUUUUGAGGUGAAAUUUCUCAUAGUUAUCCUUGACACAGAACUGAACUUGUCUUGAAAAGGCUUGAAGAAAAUCCAAUUAGCCGUUUUUUGAGAACUGAAUAUUCUAAUAAAUGCAAAUGGAUUAUUUUACAAAAUACUUAUUGAUGUGCAAUGCUUUUCUAAUCUGUUUUUCUUUUCGUGCUUUAAAACAGACCCUGAAAAUUAAAUGUAUUAAAAAGAAAGAAAGAAAAAGAAAGAAACCUGCCAGGUUAAUACUGAUAUUUUAAAUACCCAAUUUAAAAUAAUGCUCAAAGUUUGAAUUUCUUUGCAACAUAUCACCUUUCAGUGUCAGUCAGUAAUACCUGGGCAGGUAUAUAUAUACAUUCACACCCACAGGGAAACAUGAAUCCACUUUACAGUUACAUUAAUUCUAUUUUAACCUACAAGAGAAAAGGUUAGCAUUACUGUAAAACUUUUGUUAAUUCAUUAUAUUUUAUUUUUCUGUAAUAAAAAAUUCACUGAACUAUUGCUUUCAUCCAAUUAUAUAUAUACUUAACACCCAUUUAUAUUCAAAUAUUUUAUCUUAAUUUAUGAAGUAUUUUUAUAAGUCUUAUAUGCUGCUGAAUUUUAUGCAGCUAUAUGAACGUUUAAGUUUUUUCUGAUACAAUUUGCUUUGUUCCGAAUCUGUUACUGUGUUAGAAGUUUUUUUCUUUCCCAAUCUAGAAAGAGUAUGGCCAUCUUUUCCUAUAUGUGAUAUCUAUACAUCUUCAGUAUUCUGAAGAAGAGAUUUUUUAACCUGCAAUCUCUUGGAAAGCUUUCAAACAAGUGGGAGAAGUAAUCUUUACUUUGCUUCUCCUUGAUCCAUCUGUUUGCCCUCACUGUACCACCCGUCACCACCAGCAACCCUGAAAAAAACAACAGUAAUAAAUAUGAUACGAUAAUUUUUCUGAUCACAGAACCAGGAAAUACCAGAGAAAAUUGUGGCAUAUGUAGGAAAAUGCCAAGAGCUUCUCCAGUAAGAUCAGCUGUUUUUAUACUUUUUUUUUUUCCUCUUGAAUUUUGUUUGUGACUUUUUUGGCUUGCUGAAGCACAUCCCCAUAAUCUUACGAAGCCACAGCAAAUUCCCAAUGCCACAACAAUACUGUGCAGCCGGGGAGAGGCCAGAAGAGCUGAUCCUGGGUGGCUGCAGGCUUCCCCAGCAAUGGUGCAAGGCAGGAGGAGUAAGUAGGCUACUCUUCUUUUCCCUUCUUACCUAGGCUGCCCAACCUGCCAGCUAGAGAUUUUCUUUCUGUAGCUUUCUCUUCAACUGUCUGAGACAUUUCCUUCAACAACCAAUGACUUUCUACUUCCAAGGGAUGGUUCAUAUAGCAAAACAUCCAUUUUUAUUUUAUAUUGCAACAUGGAAAGCUUUGAAAUUGGAGGGGCAAAGGAAAGGGGCUCAGGGUAUCCGAGAAAUAUCCCAAAUGGCAUUAGGCUCAAAGCUGUUUUUCAUGGUUGCUCAGGUCUAUAACUUUCCUGUUCCCUCCAGAGCCUCUAAGUGGUUGAAAGUAGUGAAUGGGAUAACUAUAGGGUACACACUAUGAUCUAACUGAUUCAGUAGAUGGAGCUCUUCUCCUUAAGUCUGUAUUUAAAUUAACGUCCCACUCUAGUUUGUGGGGCUCUCUCUUUUAAGGUGUGUCAUACUACACACAUAAAAUUGAGGCCUGCAUAGCUAGAGAAGAGAUUUCCUGGCGCUUUUCAAGAGACAUGAAGCAUUUGUUCUGAAAUGCAAACAGUGCAGGGGAGCACUAGGGUGGGGUGGGAAGGGAAAUGGAGUUUACCUAUCUAAAUUUCUCUCUGUGUUUGUUGAUAUUCUUAAGUGUGAAAUUAAAUCCUAGCAGUUAUUGUGGAAUACACUUAUUCAUUAGCUAAUUUGUAAAUGUAGAAAAAUAUAUUGCACAUGCAGGAUUUUGGUGAUAUUCAUUGCAAAUCUUCCAAGCUAUCUGAACUGUGCAGAUCUCCUUUCAUUUAAUUCUACAAAAGCAUCUUAAUACUGUAAUGCAGUUGUUUCAUCUAAUUAGUCUAGAGUACCUGAAUAAAAUGUUACAAGUUCUGAAUUGUGACAGCACAGUGGAGGGCAAAGUAGUGUGUUAGUAAGGUGCCUUUGUGGAAGCCAAAAUAUUUUCAGCAAUAACUGAAAAUAGAUUUCCAGUAUCUGUUUUAAUGGGGGAAGAGCUACUUGUUUAUUUCUUUUUAAAUUAAUUGAAAUGAAUAAUUGCCACAGAAUUUUUGUCAGUGUUACAUUGUUUUCAGUACCAAUAGAAUAAGUUUGAUCAUGUCUCUUCCUGGUACCAAGUGGAGAAAUAUAUGUACACUGUAUGUAAUAAAUUAUCUUCCUUAGUGGAAUGUCUUCUCACAGAUUGGAGAUAUUACUGAAUAUCUCUUGUUAAAUCUUGAUAAGAUCAUUUGGCCAAAGUAGAACUGGUCUUGGCUUUAGUACCAAAAGAAAUAGCAUUUUUAAAAGACUUGGAUUUCCUUUGCAUACCACGUGUCUGAGUUUGAUACAGUCCAGGAAAAUAGAGAGGAUGAGAUGAAAUUAUUCCUAAGCAGCCGCCGUAGGCCAAACACUGAAACAGUGCCAACCUGGACCAAUCAGGCCGGCUUCUCAGAAGAUACAUGCUUUUGUCAAACACUUACAUGAAGAAAGAGAGAGAGGAAGUUCGUGAAACUGUAUUUGUAUGAAUAUUCUUCACUGAUUUCAAUAAAGUCCAGGGUAAUAAAUUCGAUGAUUUUUAUUCUUUUGUAAAGCAGAAAAUCUGAGUUUUUCUGGGCAGCUAAGGUUCUCUAAAUGUUGUACUGUGACAUCUUUUAAACAAAACUAUCCUUUCGAAUUUAAGCAGUGCAAAACUUCUCACAAAGAGCAAAGAGUAAAAUUGAUGGAAACUCAGAAUCAAUUCCAAACCCAUUUCUGGCAUGAUGAGAAUAACAUUUGUGCUGUGUUUAAAGUAGUUUAAAACAAGAAAAUGAUAAAAUGAUCAAUAUACUUAAAGCCAAAAAUAACCAGGAGAGAACAAUCUGUAAUCCAUUCUCAGUCUGAAACCCCACACUACUUAUUUAUUGAACAUGAAAAUAAACAACUAUAUAUUUUAUAAGGUGGCCCUGCAAACCUUAUAACAUAUAAACAGUAAUGAUGAGAUGCCAGGCUUUCAACCCUUUAUUUAAGCUAUGUGUUUAGAAUUUAGUCAGGCAAAAACUCCUGGACUUAAACUAUUAUACAUUUAUUUGUUUCUACAUACCAUGACCAUAAAAAGAACAAACGUUAAGGAAUAUAUAGAUUGUCGCAGUGAACUACAUUGCCACCUUACAGUUUAUGUACUCUGUUUGUUUUAAAAAGAAAAAAAGGUUUUAACUACAGCAAAAGAAUAUUUUAAGUUAGAAAGUCAGUUAAUUGAUCAAUAUAGAACAGAUUUAAUAUUUCUUUAAAAAUACCUUGACUCCUGACUAAUUUAUUAAAUUCAACACAUACAUAAAUGUAAACCAUAUAUAUUUUAUACUUAUUGCUUUAAUGGAUUGCUUUAAAAGACUAACUUGACACUAAUAAAUUUUGAACCUGUGGAUUCAAGAGGCACUUAACUGGAUAUAUAUUUAUCGAUCAGAUAAAAUAAAAUUGUCCAUCUAGAUUUUUAAAAUUCCAGCUGAAGAACUUAAAAUAACAACAAAUUGCAUAGGCACACAAUUUCAUUGCACUGAGGUGCUGUAGGAAUGAUGAUAAUUCUAAUGAGCACUGUGACGAAUGCAACUACAAUGAAACAUGUUUGAUUACAUCAGUAAGAGUGAACUCAGUGGGCAAGGAAUUUUAAAUAGAGAAGAAUAGAAGGAUCUACAUUAAAACAAGGUUUUAUUUUUAUCAAAAAAAAUUUGAUGAGGGGGUUGUCCAACAGAUUAAGAAAUGAUAUUCAGGCUUAAACUACUCAUUUUGCCAAUAAGAAAACUUAAACACAGAGAAGAGAUAAAAUGCUUUCAAGAUGAGCAAGGCAAAACUGGGACCAGAACUCAAGUUUUCUAACUCACGUUUUCUUGAUGUACUCCUAUGCCAAAAGGCUGACCACUAAAACUAAUUUAUAAAAAUAAAAAAAGCUGAAACCCAUCAAAGCCCAUGAAGAGCAAGUGUAAAUUUAGAGCAACC